rnacentral:rRNA from 1 species
GAGCGCAGCGAGUCAGUGAGCGAGGAAGCGGCCGCAUAACUUCGUAUAGCAUACAUUAUACGAAGUUAUCAGUCGACGGUACCGGACAUAUGCCCGGGAAUUCGGCCAUUACGGCCGGGGAGUAUGGCAGAGGUAGAGGGAAUUACUGGUGUAACGGUGAAAUGUGCAGAUAUCAGUAAGAACACCAAUGGCGAAAGCACUCUACUGGACCAAAACUGACACUCAGAGACGAAAGCUAGGGGAGCGAAUAGGAUUAGAUACCCUAGUAGUCCUAGCUGUAAACGAUGGAAACUAAAUAUUGCGUUUUUAAAAUGCAGUAUUGUAGCUAACGCGUUAAGUUUCCCGCCUAGGGAGUAUGCUCGCAAGAGUGAAACUCAAAGAAAUUGACGGGGGCCCGCAUAAGCGGUGGAGCAUGUGGUUUAAUUCGAUGCAACGCGAAGAACCUUACCGGGGUUUGACAUACUAUGCACUUUUUGGAGACGAAAAAGUUUAAACAUAGAUACAGGUGGUGCAUGGCUGUCGUCAGCUCGUGUCGUGAGACGUAGGGUUAAGUCCUGUAACGAGCGCAACCCUUAUUGUUAGUUGCUUUUAGGAAACUAGCAAGACUGCCAGUGAUAAGCUGGAGGAAGGUGAGGAUGACGUCAAGUCAGCAUGCCCCUUAAAUCCCGGGCUACACACGUGCUACAAUGGUUAAGACAAAGAGAUGCUAACUUGUGAAAGUACAGCGAACCUCAAAAACUUAAUCUCAGUUCGGAUUGUAGGCUGCAACUCGCCUACAUGAAGCCGGAAUCGCUAGUAAUCGCAGGUCAGCUAUACUGCGGUGAAUACGUUCCCGGGCCUUGUACACACCGCCCGUCACACCAUCGGAGCUGACUAGGCCCGAAGCCGU